rnacentral:rRNA from 1 species
UACGGAGGGGACUAGCUUGGUUCGGAAUUACUGGGCGUAAAGCGCGUGUAGGCGGGUCGUUAAGUUGGGGGUGAAAUCCCGAGGCUCAACCUCGGAACUGCCUUCAAAACUGGCGACCUGGACUCAAGCAGAGGCAAGUGGAAUUGCGAGUGUAGAGGUGAAAUUCGUAGAUAUUCGCAGGAACACCAGUGGCGAAGGCGACUUGCUGGGCUUGUAGUGACGCUGAGACGCGAAAGCGUGGGGAGCAAACAGG